rnacentral:rRNA from 1 species
GCAUGAAGUCGGAAUUGCUGUAAUCGCGGAUCAGCAUGCCGCGGUGAAUACGUUCCCGGGCCUUGUACACACCGCCCGUCACACCAUGGGGGCCGGUAAUACCCGAAGUCAGUAGUCCAACCUCGUGAGGACGCUGCCGAAGGUAGGAUUGGCGACUGGGGUGAAGUCGUAACAAGGUACC